CGAGGGGCAGCGGGGUUGAAGCUUGCUUCAAUUGCCGGCGACCGGCGCACGGGUGAGUAACGCGUAUCCAACCUUCCGUACACUCAGGGAUAGCCUUUCGAAAGAAAGAUUAAUACCUGAUGGUAUGAUGAGAUUGCAUGAUAGCAUCAUUAAAGAUUUAUCGGUGUACGAUGGGGAUGCGUUCCAUUAGGUAGUAGGCGGGGUAACGGCCCACCUAGCCAACGAUGGAUAGGGGUUCUGAGAGGAAGGUCCCCCACAUUGGAACUGAGACACGGUCCAAACUCCUACGGGAGGCAGCAGUGAGGAAUAUUGGUCAAUGGACGAGAGUCUGAACCAGCCAAGUAGCGUGAAGGACGAAGGUCCUACGGAUUGUAAACUUCUUUUAUAAGGGAAUAAACCCUCCCACGUGUGGGAGCUUGUAUGUACCUUAUGAAUAAGCAUCGGCUAACUCCGUGCCAGCAGCCGCGGUAAUACGGAGGAUGCGAGCGUUAU
rnacentral:rRNA from 1 species